AUGCUGCACAGAGUUAUCCUGCCCUUGUGUACAUCCAGCCUGCUGAAAGUGGCAGGAAGGAUAUGGAAUGACAGGAGUAAAGAUGGCACCAUCGUUACCCCUGUUGUAGAUAUGCAAUAAACUUGCUCUGACAACCUCUGUUCUACCAUUCCUUACAUUGGACUAUUUGACUUUUUAAUGGUGCUUUUCUAAAGGUAAUUUGGAAAUCAACUUUCUGCUGUACAUUUAACUGGCAAAAAUAAAAGACAGAUUAAGCAUCUGUAACUGCUGGCUCUUCCGUGAAUGGGAUUUGAACAGGGAUYCCCAAGCAUUUAUAGCAGCGACUGCUACUACUUAAGCUUCAAGGCUGACUACUACUUACAGCAGCCGGAGGAAACUUGUUAUCCAGAAGGAGGGCUGAGCAGAUGUUGUCAGACCCAGGCCUUAGAGGUUUUCAUUUGACAGAAGGUCUCAGAAUGGGAUAGGGAUCUCUGUUCAGUUCAUAUGCUGGUUCUGGUUCUGUUGAUUUUUUUUUUUUUUUUUUUUUUUUCCCCCACCCUGUCUCUCUCUGGAUGCCCGGAGCUGGUGACUUUCCUGGCCUAUGUGGGGCUUCAGAGGAGAAGGUGAUCACAUGACCACUAGAAAGAAACCGAGUAGACAAGAAACAGAUUUCCUGUGUAAAAAACCCCAAGAAAAUAAUACUGAAGAAAUCAAAGAUUAUAAAAACAAAUUAUAGUUUCUAGUUCCUGUUUAUGGCUUCUUACUCCAGUCUGGUUCCCUACUGCUCCUCUCGGGGUAAAAAUCAUCUUAUUUCUUAUUAUUUAUAUGGAAACCCUUCUGCUUUUCACAUGACAACCUUCAUUUUAUUAUCCCUGUUGGUAAAAGCUGCUAAUGAAGAUGAUCUGAUUUGUCCUUACAGAACAACUUCAGGUUCCAUGCUGAGGAUGUCAAACUCUGAGCUUUCCAAAGCAGCUGCCUUCUUAAAAUAG
rnacentral:lncRNA from 1 species